GACCAAAUAGCUCAGUGGUUAGAGCACCUGGUUGAACUUGAGAGGUCCAGGGUUCAAUUCCCUGUCUGGUCA
rnacentral:tRNA from 1 species